rnacentral:tRNA from 1 species
GCUCCCUUAACUCAGUCGGUUAGAGUUCAGAGCUUAUAUCUCUGCGGUCACAGGUUCGAGUCCUGUAGGGAGUA